rnacentral:lncRNA from 1 species
CAACAGCACUGAGGUCCCAGUGAUGAGGAAUGACUCACCAGCAGGUGCUGAGUCACAAUCACACCAAAUACACUCUUACAUCUUGAUGGAGUAUCAAAUUCAAUAGCUUUGCUUAGUCACUUGAGCUUGCCCUAAUUCCUAUGAUUCACUCAAUUUCAAAACUUUGAUUUCUGAUUUCUUGUUUUUGCUCACAAUAUAAAUUGAGUUGUAUAACCCUUAUACAACUCUUAAAGCAGAAUUGUUGCAAGCCAUCACCAAUCUUUAGUCAGAUCCCGGGCUUCAGACACAAGGUGUGUCACUUAUCAAAUCCAAGCGGCCAAUACGCCACAGUGCACUUUGGAUUAAUUUGGAAGUGCUGAUCUCCCACUCCUUGCACACCUACAGAGAAUUCCAGCUGACAUCGGAAGAUACAUGCAUUAGGAUUUCAUCCUGCCCUGACUCAUGCCAGCAACAACCUACCAUCAGCUAAAAGUGUGACCUUUCUCUGGGAGGGCUCCUCAGCCUGACAAGAGCUUUGACAUGAUAAAUGUUGGAGAGCUGCUGCUGCUAUCAAAACUGACCAGCAGGACCACAACUGGAAAGAAAAAGAGGCAGAAGAUCAGGACAAAAGUAGUAAAUACUUACAGGAUUUCAUGGGGCAUGUGGAAGAAGACUUUUCUCAAGCAGAGACAGAAUGAUGUCUAACCAUGUCAGCUGAUUGGCAGAAUUCUGACAGAUGUCACAUACAUUUUAGCAGAAGGAUCCAUUGCUGUUUAUGUCACCACAUUACUGCUCACAACACAAAAGAGCAGCAACUUUUCCAGUCAUCACCUAAAGCUGUGGUGGAUACAUUUUGUAAGUAAGCAGGACAAAAUCUCAUGUACAGCCAAGUAUAGCACCCUGAAAGAAGAGGACAAAUAAUGACAAUUCUGAUGACAAGGAAACAUCACUGGCAGGAAGAAAUGUGCAAUCAUGUUACUUUCCAGCUGGUCUCUUCAGACCAUGAUGCUCCUGGAUUUUCUCUUGUGUACAAGGUGACAUUGACUUGUCUGAUCUAAUUGCUCAACUUAAGUAAAAAAGCUGAUGGAGUAUUUCAGCUUUUCUGUUAUCCAGCUUGUUACUGAAGCAUUUCAAUAUGCCUCUAUAACUGUAUGUUAUUUGUGCUAUUCCUGUUUAUUGUUUACCCCCCAGAUGUAACUGUUACUCUGAUAAAACUGUUC